GUGGGGAAUAUUGGACAAUGGGCGAAAGCCUGAUCCAGCCAUGCCGCGUGUGUGAAGAAGGUCUUCGGAUUGUAAAGCACUUUAAGUUGGGAGGAAGGGCAGUAAGUUAAUACCUUGCUGUUUUGACGUUACCGACAGAAUAAGCACCGGCUAACUUCGUGCCAGCAGCCGCGGUAAUACGAAGGGUGCAAGCGUUAAUCGGAAUUACUGGGCGUAAAGCGCGCGUAGGUGGUUUUGUAAGUUGGAGGUGAAAUCCCCGGGCUCAACCUGGGAACUGCCUCCAAAACUGCAUGACUAGAGUACGGUAGAGGGUAGUGGAAUUUCCUGUGUAGCGGUGAAAUGCGUAGAUAUAGGAAGGAACACCAGUGGCGAAGGCGACUACCUGGACUGAUACUGACACUGAGGUGCGAAAGCGUGGGGAGCAAACAGGAUUAGAUACCCGUGUAGUCC
rnacentral:rRNA from 1 species